rnacentral:misc_RNA from 1 species
CCGAGUUAGGGUCCUCUCGGGCCCGACCUCCCAACCCGAUGUUUAUCAAACCUAUGUUGCUUCGGCGGGCCCGUCUCACGACCGCCGGAGGGCCGUAAAACGUCCUCUGGCCCGCGCCCGCCGGCGGCCAAACUUGACAAAUUCUGUUUAAAACGUGUCACUGUCUGAGUAUGAUUCAUAAUUAAAGCA